rnacentral:tRNA from 1 species
GGAAGGGUCGCAUAGUUGGUCUAGUGCGCAGUCCUGGAAAGACUGUAUGUCGCAAGGCAUCGCGGGUUCGAAUCCCGCCCCUUCCGCCA